GCGCCCGUAGCUCAGCUGGAUAGAGUGUCAGACUCCGACUCUGAAGGUCAUGCGUUCGAAUCGCACCGGGCGUACCA
rnacentral:tRNA from 1 species